UCAAGAAGACUGGCAAUGGCCCAGGAUGCAGUGUAUGACCUUGGUAUCUUCCAUGUCUGACCAAGCUCUAAGUGCCCCACAGCACCUGCUUAAGCCUCCUUCGUGACUGUUGGAACAAAUUGUUCUCAUCUGCUCGUUCCUCUGGGAGAAUUACUUGGCUGCCUUCAAGUCCCAGCAAAAAUCUCACCUUCUAAAGGAAGCCAUCCACUUUAAUACUAGUGACUUCCUCUGUUGCUCAUUUCCAAUUUAUCCUGAAUAUAUCUUGUUUGUGCAGAGUUGUUUGCACGUUAUCUCCUUGCUUUUGACUGUGAGCUCCAUGAAGGAAGGGAUUAUGUUUUGCCUAUCCCCACUACUUUAGCACAAUGGCUGGCAUGUAGUAUAUGCUUAAUAAAUGCUUGUUGAUGACUUUUUAAAAUACUGAAAAACAUGGGGAUAUGUGUUUAUAUAAGAAGGAUUUACUUUAAGUAUGGAGAAGUUCUUUCACAUAGAUAGAUUCAGACCAUGAAAGCUGGAAAGGACCUUAGCGAUCAUCUAAUACAAACUCCUCAUUUUAUAAAUGAGGAAAAUGCAGCCUAGAGAGCUGAAGGGAUCUGACCCAAGGUCACAUAUCUGGGAGUUCCAUUGUGGGGGGGGGGCGGAGAGAAGAAGGGUAACAAAGCUUUGGGAUUGGAAAGUUUUUAAAAAUUGAAAAGAAGGGUCUGAGUAUUUAUGAAGCUAGAUAAAGCAUUUAUUAAAUGUGCCAGGCACUGUUACUGGGAAUAUAAAUACAAACAAAAACAUAAACAGUUCCUGCCUUCAAAAAGCAUAUAUUCUAAUAGUGCCAUAUAAAGGGAAGACAACUUAUCAACAACUUGAGACUUCCAUACUUCAAUGGACAGCCCAUCUCAGCAAUGCCCCUUGGAAUGGUGGUUAGAGGGCUGGCCAAGUUCUAAGUCUGUGACCCUGGGCAGGUCACUUCACUACCGAGUGCCCCAGGCUCCCCAAACCACUGAUGGUCAGGGGAGGGAGUCCCCACAACAGGACCUUCCCAUGCUGGUGAAAUCACAAUCCCAGACAAAAUGUUUUCUGUUUGUGUACAUGAACAGAGCUCCACUCUCCUGAGACCUGUUCAAUCUUUCAUGAGGAAAUCUAUUGAAGCUUGAAAACAAAAGUGGCUACCACAUUGAGCUUCAGAAUCAAGACCUCCUCCUUUAAGAUUGGUACAUUCUCUUGCCAUCUGGAGUGUGCAGCAAAUAAGGACAAAAAGGAAAGAAAAAGCAGAUGCUUAGACUCAGACAUGUAACCACUAUGGAAGCAGCUGAAAGAGGAAAAGAGCAGUCCUGGGGAUGCUGAUUUGGACUAAGAAAGCAAGAUCUGCCAAAGAACCUGGCUCAGUCUCCUCUUAUCCCCUGGGGUCCAUAUUCCCAAGGUAGUUCUCAGCAUCAGUGUUCAGAGACUUUGAUCAUCUCAGAACUGGAACGGAACUUCCCAUAAUGACUGCAGACCAGAAUGAGACCUGACACUUUACCUCCUGGGAGAAAUAAAACUGCACCAACCUCUAGAAUCCUGACAAGGAAUCCAAAACAAUCCUGUGUUAGCAGAGUAUGGACAAGUGGACAUGCCUUGAGGAGUCCACCUUAAUCCUCCAGACUUUGCUACAUGCUGUGGCUGCCUGCUCCCACUGUUCUCUCUGCCUCCCACCAGUGAGUUUCUCCUGGAACCUCUACUUAAAGGAAGGCCCCAGAACAGCUAACCAUUUUCCAGAUUUAACCCCCAUGUGCCAAUGGGUAAAUCCCCAUCCCUCCCUUUCCAGCCCCCACUAGAAUGUACACUCCCAGAGGACAGGAACUGCUCUUCUUUUUACUUGUAUUUGUAUCUCCAGAGCUUAGCACAAUGCACGGCACACAGUAAAUGCUCAAUAAAUG